UACGUAGGGUGCGAGCGUUAAUCGGAAUUACUGGGCCUAAAGCGUGCGCAGGCGGUUUUGUAAGACAGAGGUGAAAUCCCCGGGCUCAACCUGGGAACUGCCUUUGGGACUGCAAGGCUAGAGUACGGCAGAGGGGGAUGGAAUUCCGCGUGUAGCAGUGAAAUGCGUAGAUAUGCGGAGGAACACCGAUGGCGAAGGCAAUCCCCUGGGCCUGUACUGACGCUCAUGCACGAAAGCGUGGGGAGCAAACAGGAUUAGAUACCCUGGUAGUCCACGCCCUAAACGAUGUCAACUGGUUGUUGGGUCUUAACUGACUCAGUCACGAAGCUAACGCGUGAAGUUGCCCGCCUGGGGAGUACGGCCGCAAGGUUGAA
rnacentral:rRNA from 1 species